AAUAGAUACCCGGGUAGUCCACGCCCUAAACGAUGCUCACUAGGUGUUGGGGAAGCGAUUCCUUGGUACCGUAGCUAACGCGUGAAAUGAGCCGCCUGGGGAGUACGGCCGCAAGGUUAAAACUCAAAGGAAUUGACGGGGACCCGCACAAGCGGUGGAUGAUGUGGAUUAAUUCGAUGCAACGCGAACAACCUUACCUACCCUUGACAUGUCCGGAAGCCUGCUGAAAGGCGGGGUGCUCGAAAGAGAACCGGAACACAGGUGCUGCAUGGCUGUCGUCAGCUCGUGUCGUGAGAUGUUGGGUUAAGUCCCGCAACGAGCGCAACCCUUGUCCCUAGUUGCUACGCAAGGGUCACGUCUAGGGAGACUGCCGGUGACAAACCGGAGGAAGGUGGGGAUGACGUCAAGUCCUCAUGGCCCUUAUGGGUAGGGCUUCACACGUCAUACAAUGGACGGUACAGAGGGUUGCCAACCCGGCGAGGGGGAGCCAAUCCCAGAAAGCCGUUCGUAGUCCGGAUCGCAGUCUGCAACUCGACUGCGUGAAGUCGG
rnacentral:rRNA from 1 species